rnacentral:rRNA from 1 species
AUGCCAACCCUAAACCGGAGGCUGCUCACGUGGAGCGACUCCGACAGGGAGGACGACGACGGCGGUGGUGGCGGAACGGCGGACAUCCUCGUCGAGGAAGCACGGUAUGGCGACCUGUGCGCCAGCCUCGUGGAUGACGUGCUCGUCCAGGGGUCGGACGGUCAAUGCCGUCGCGGCGGAGUGAGUGCAACGCCGGCGUCCAGCACGCGCAAGGAAGUAGGGACAAGUGAGACAUUGUACACCUUCCAUAUUAUAGAUAGAUCCAUUAGCCUCUCCACCCAAAGUGAUUCUACGCUGGGUUACCGCUUUACAACAACUGCAGAGCGUGAAAUUGCAAGGAACAUGAAAGAGAAGUUUGGAUAUAUGGCCCUUGAUUUCGAGCGGGAGGUGAACUCCUCGUCAGUUGAAGAGAGCUACCAUCUACCUGGCCAGCGGGCAAUCAGGAUUGGUGAUGAGAGGUUCAGGUGCUCCAAGGUCCUCUUCGACCCAUCCGUGAUUGGUAUGGAAGCUCGUGGAAUCCAUGAGGCAAGCUAUGAUGCGAUCAACAAGUGCGACGAGAAUGUCUGGCAGGACUUGUAUGCCAACAUUGUCCUCACCGGGGGUUCAACAAUGUUCCCCGGCAUGGCUGACCGUCUGAGCAAGGAGGUCACCGCCCUUGCUCCCGAGGACAUGAAGAUCUAG